GAUGAACGCUGGCGGCGUGCCUAAUACAUGCAAGUCGAGCGAACAGAUGAGGAGCUUGCUCCUCUGACGUUAGCGGCGGACGGGUGAGUAACACGUGGAUAACCUACCUAUAAGACUGGGAUAACUUCGGGAAACCGGAGCUAAUACCGGAUAAUAUAUUGAACCGCAUGGUUCAAUAGUGAAAGACGGUUUUGCUGUCACUUAUAGAUGGAUCCGCGCCGCAUUAGCUAGUUGGUAAGGUAACGGCUUACCAAGGCAACGAUGCGUAGCCGACCUGAGAGGGUGAUCGGCCACACUGGAACUGAGACACGGUCCAGACUCCUACGGGAGGCAGCAGUAGGGAAUCUUCCGCAAUGGGCGAAAGCCUGACGGAGCAACCCCGCGUGAGUGAUGAAGGUCUUCGGAUCGUAAAACUCUGUUAUUAGGGAAGAACAAAUGUGUAAGUAACUAUGCACGUCUUGACGGUACCUAAUCAGAAAGCCACGGCUAACUACGUG
rnacentral:rRNA from 1 species